GGAGUCUGGUCCGUGUCUCAGUACCAGUGUGGGGGAUUAGCCUCUCAGCUCCCCUAGACAUCGUCGCCUUGGUGGGCCGUUGCCCCGCCAACUAGCUAAUGUCACGCAUGCCCAUCCUGUACCACCGAAGCUUUAGUCACAAGGUCAUGCGGCCUCGCGACACCAUGGGAUAUUAGUGGGAUUUUCACCCCGUUAUCCCCCUGUACAGGGCAGGUUGCAUACGCGUUACGCACCCGUGCGCCGGUCGUCGCCAAGGUAUUGCUACCUCGCGUUACCCCUCGACUUGCAUGUGUUAGGCCUGCCGCUAGCGUUCAUC
rnacentral:rRNA from 1 species